GAUGAACGCUAGCGACAGGCCUAACACAUGCAAGUCGAGGGGCAUCGGGGUGUAGCAAUACGCUGCCGGCGACCGGCGGAUGGGUGAGUAACGCGUAUGCAACCUGCCUUCAGCAGGGGGAUAGCCCGUUGAAAGACGGAUUAAUACCCCGUAACACAGGGGCUCCGCAUGGAGAUUAUUGUUAAAGGGAUGCUUCCUUCGGGGAGUAUUCCGGCUGAAGAUGGGCAUGCGUUCCAUUAGGUAGUUGGUUGAGGUAACGGCUCACCAAGCCUGCGAUGGAUAGGGGUCCUGAGAGGGUGGUCCCCCACACUGGUACUGAGACACGGACCAGACUCCUACGGGAGGCAGCAGUGAGGAAUAUUGGUCAAUGGGCGCAAGCCUGAACCAGCCAUCCCGCGUGCAGGAAGACGGCCCUAUGGGUUGUAAACUGCUUUUCCAGGGAGAGAAACUUACGCACGUGUUGCGUGACUGACGGUACCCUGGGAAUAAGCAUCGGCUAACU
rnacentral:rRNA from 1 species